CUUGCUGCUGCAGCCUGCCUGGGACUUCCCUCGCGGAGGGAAGGCUCACGCCACGAUGGGAAGGCCCCAGCUGAAGGGGAAGGAAGCGGGGGAGUGGCACCAUCCUCCUGGGGGGGGGGGUUCAAGGGUGCCCCCAGGAGGGUGGUGCCACAGGCAAAUGACUACUUUGCCUGGCGGUCGAACUGCCUCUGAUGGUGGCCAGGAACCUUCCACACUUUUGACAUACCUGAAGAUUCUGUAAGAAAUUUCCUGCCGUCAUCAGUUUCAAGGACUCCUGCCAUGAAGGAAUGGUGCAAUUUUUCUCCAUAUCUAUUUUGACAGCAUUUACCUUCCUCUGGAAUAGCAGUAGCACACAGUCCAUGAUACGCAUGAUAAGAUGUGGUGGCCGACCUAAUGUGCGAACGGUGGCAAUAUCUGCAGGCUUGAUAGUCUAGAUUUUUGAAAAAGAACAGAAAGGUUUGCCAAUAUCCUCCACUUUAACUUCUCGACAUAUCUAAGAUUGGCACAUCUAAGAUUGGCAAAAGCUAUUGGACAAAGGCCUCACCAUUAGCUUAUCGGAUGCAACAAUUUAACUCUCCUGAGUCAUGUUUUAUUGCAGAAACCACACACAUCUAGAUCUUUAAACUAAGCCUUUUGUAACAGUGUCACUAAAGGGGUUUGAAUAACAUCCACAAGUUUCUGCCACUGGAAUAAAAAUUGCCCCAACAAA